rnacentral:rRNA from 1 species
GAUGAACGCUAGCGGCAGGCUUAACACAUGCAAGUCGAGGGGCAGCACGUCUUCGGAUGGUGGCGACCGGCGCACGGGUGAGUAACGCGUAUGCAAUCUACCUUUUACAGGGGCAUAGCCCGGGGAAACCCGGAUUAAUAUCCUAUAGUACCAUUAUAUAGCAUUAUAUUAUGGUUAAAGUUUCGGCGGUAAAAGAUGAGCAUGCGUCCUAUUAGCUUGAUGGUAAGGUAACGGCUUACCAUGGCUAUGAUAGGUAGGGGUCCUGAGAGGGAGACCCCCCACACUGGUACUGAGACACGGACCAGACUCCUACGGGAGGCAGCAGUGAGGAAUAUUGGACAAUGGGCGAGAGCCUGAUCCAGCCAUGCCGCGUGCAGGAAGACGGCCCUAUGGGUUGUAAACUGCUUUUAUACGGGAAGAAACACCCCUUCGUGAAGGGACUUGACGGUACCGUAUGAAUAAGGAUCGGCUAACUCCGUGCCAGCAGCCGCGGUAACACGGAGGAUCC